rnacentral:rRNA from 1 species
UUAAGCGACUAAGCGUACACGGUGGAUGCCCUGGCAGUCAGAGGCGAUGAAGGACGUGCUAAUCUGCGAUAAGCGUCGGUAAGGUGAUAUGAACCGUUAUAACCGGCGAUUUCCGAAUGGGGAAACCCAGUGUGAUUCGUCACACUAUCAUUAACUGAAUCCAUAGGUUAAUGAGGCGAACCGGGGGAACUGAAACAUCUAAGUAC